UAAUACGGAGGGUGCAAGCGUUACUCGGAAUCACUGGGCGUAAAGCGCGCGCAGGCGGCUAUUUAAGUUGGAUGUGAAAGCCUACGGCUCAACCGUAGAACUGCAUCCAAAACUAUUUAGCUAGAGUGUGGGAGAGGAAGAUGGAAUUAGUUGUGUAGGGGUAAAAUCCGUAGAGAUAACUAGGAAUACCAAAAGCGAAGGCAAUCUUCUGGAACACUACUGGCGCUGAGGCGCGAAGGCGUGGGGAGCAAACAGGAUUAGAUACCCUGGUAGUCCACGCAGUAAACGAUGAAUGUUAGUCGUCGGGUAGCUAGUCUAUUCGGUGAUGCAGCUAACGCAUUAAACAUUCCGCCUGGGGAGUACGGUCGCAAGAUUA
rnacentral:rRNA from 1 species